rnacentral:misc_RNA from 1 species
GGAAUUAAAUAAUUAUUAACUUAAUACUUUGUAGUUUCUUCUGUUAAUUGAUAAUUUGUGUUAAACGUUUACAUUUACAAAGCUAGUGUUUUUGGCUAUUCACUUUGUAACAUUUAUAUAAUUUUUCAGAUAUUUAAAUGCACUUUUAGAUUGUUAUAUACUUAUAAAAUUAUAUUAAAAUUAUGGCUGUUCCGAAUGAGUUAAGUUUGGAAUCCGUCCGUGAUUUCAUGAUCAUGAACGAUGGAAAAGUUACUAAUCAUGAUCUAGUGACUCAUUUUAAACAUUUUCUAACAAAUCCACAAAACAGAGCUGAAGCAAGACUUAAGUUUAAAGAAAUUGUAAACACUGUGGCUACCGUUAUCUGUGGAGAAGAUGGGGAAAAGUAUUUAAUGCUUAAACGUCGCUUUCGAGUGGCUGGUUGUAUUGGUUUAUCAUUAGAACCCUCCAUGAGCACAGCUUCUUCUCUAACUUCACUUACUUCUUAUCCUGGAUUAUCUUCUGUACAUCAUUCAUUAUCACAAGAUUCUCUUAUUGACCCUCCUAGAUUUCAACAAAGAUCUCCAAUGGUAUCACCAUCGGCUAGACAACCCCCACCUUAUCGUCCACCACCUUCUCCUAUUGCAUCGCCUAAAGAAUGUUCACCAACUAAAGAAGCCGCACCACCUGUUCCUCCUAGGCGUAGAAGUUCUGAGAAAAUUAAAUUGAUUGAAUUAAAUGAUAAUGUUAUAGUAAAUUCUAAGGAUAAUUAUAAAGAGAAUGAACAACCUCAGCAGCCUCAGAUAAGCGUAAAGGAUCGAACCCAAAAAUUCAACCGGAUAGCAUCUGAAAAUGCCUUGCAUUUAGCUAGUCAACUACCGUCACCAAAUAAGAAAAAAAUAGAAAAGAACGAUAAAGACGAAGAAGACACUAUUUCUAUGACAUCGUUGGAUCCUAAGACUAAAGAAUGGGUCGUCAAAUCAGCAAAAUGUGACUAUCAAGCUUUAGCAAAACUUGCAUCUGAAAAUUCUGGAAUUGCAAAGUUCAAGGACCCUAUCACUAGCUAUACGGCGUUACACUGGGCGGCGAAACACGGCAACAUGGACCUGGUGAAAAUGCUGGCCGGCACGUAUAGCGUCAACGUCAACGCUAAAACGAAUGGAGGUUACACGCCAUGUCACUUGGCAUUACAGUUCGGACACGAAGAGAUUUACAAGAUACUGGUCGAAUCGUACGGAGCCGACCCGAACGUGCGGGACUACAGCGGACGCAAGCCCAGGCAGUACCAGACGAACCAGGACACGAGCCUGUCGGCGGACACGUAUCGCAGGCUGUUGGACGCGGAAAGAACUAAACGCCCGAAAACACAAACACAUGGAAAAGGAUCUAAGAUUCCUGCGGAUCGGGUCCCUGAACGUGCGCGUUAAACGGACCACAGAGGCGUUCAGCAACUUCCUGGGCGUCGGACACAACGCAGAGAAGAUUCACAAGACUUGGGGUUCUGCCGACAACAUACAACAGAACGACGCCAAGAGAAUGCCUCCUCCGAAAAGCGUUACGAUUAAGAAAAGGAAGUCCAAACGGCCGCAAGACUUUUUGAGGAGAGCCUCGGCCCCGGCCGACCGAUCGCCAGACAAGAGGAAAUCCGCGGAAAUCG